AUUCCAGCUCCAAUAGCGUAUAUUAAAGUUGUUGCAGUUAAAAAGCUCGUAGUUGGAUUUUUGACAGGAGCGACCAUACCGGGCUUGAUUGUCCGUGUUUUGUAUUGUCUCCAGUCAUCCUCGUGGAGAGCGUUUCUGGCAUUAGUUUGUUGGAGGCGGGACCCGCGUCAUUUACUGUGAAAAAAUUAGAGUGUUUAAAGCAGGCAAUUGGCUUGAAUACAUUAGCAUGGAAUAAUAAGAUAGGACUUUGGUGCUAUUUUGUUGGUUUGCACAUCAAGGUAAUGAUUAACAGAAUCAGUCGGGGAUAUUCGUAUGCAAAUGUCAGAGGUGAAAUUCUUGGAUUUUUUACAGACGUACUACUGCGAAAGCAUUUAUCAAGGAUGUUUUCAUUA
rnacentral:rRNA from 1 species